UACCCGCUGAAUUUAAGCAUAUCUCUAAGCGGAAGAGAAGAAACUAACCAGGAUGCCCCUAGUAAUGGCGAAUGAAGCGGGCAGAGCUCACGCCGCCAAUCUGGAGGUCUUUCAGCUAACGACCCCCCGAAUUGUAGUCUAGAAAGGCGCCAUCGGGCGCGUCCGCCGCUCAAAUCCCUUGGAACGGGGUAUCGGAGAAGGUGAGAAUCCUGUGCCGUGGCGGAUAGCGGUCGCACGAUGCGUCCUUGCAGAGUCGGGUUGCUUGGGAUUGCAGCUUGAAGUGGGUGGUAAAUUCCAUCUAAAGCUAAAUACUGGCGAGAGACCGAUAGCGAACAAGUACCGUGAGGGAAAGAUGCAAAGAACUUUGAAAAGAGAGUUAAAGAGUGCUUGAAAUCGGCAAGAGGAAACCCGUUUGUGCCCGGCUUCGCGCCGUCGACUCAGCCGCGCUUCUGCGCGGUGCACUUUGUCGGCGCGGGUCAGCCGCGGCUCUCCCUGCUUCACGAGGCUGUUUGCGGGGCUUUACGGCGAGCAUUCAGCUGGGUCGCGGGGUGGCUCCGGCUGACGGAAGCGGCACAACCGACCCGUCUGGAAACACGGACCAAGGAAUCUGAC
rnacentral:rRNA from 1 species